rnacentral:rRNA from 1 species
ACGGAAGGCAGCAGUGAGGAAUAUUGGUUAAUGGGCGGAAGCCUGAACCAGCCAAGUCGCGUGAAGGAUGAAGGUAUUAUGUAUUGUAAACUUCUUUAGCAGCAGAGUAAUAAGGAGGUCGUGACCCCCGAUGCAAGUAUGCUGAAGAUAAGGAUCGGCUAACUCCGUGCCAGCAGCCGCGGUAAUACGGAGGAUCCGAGCGUUAUCCGGAUUUAUUGGGUUUAAAGGGUGCGCAGGCGGCUUUUUAAGUCAGUGGUUAAAUCGUGAGGCUCAACCUCAUCACGCCAUUGAUACUGGAGAGCUUGAUUGCGGUUGAGGUUGGCGGAAUUCGUCGUGUAGCGGUGAAAUGCAUAGAUAUGACGAGGAACCCCGAUCGCGUAGGCAGCUGACCAAGCCGUAAAUGACGCUCAUGCACGAAAGUGCGGGGAUCGAACAGGAUUAGAUACCCUGGUA